UACGUAGGGUGCAAGCGUUGUCCGGAAUUAUUGGGCGUAAAGAGCUCGUAGGCGGUCUGUCGCGUCUGGUGUGAAAACUCAGGGCUUAACCCUGAGCUUGCAUCGGGUACGGGCAGACUAGAGUGCGGUAGGGGGAGACUGGAAUUCCUGGUGUAGCGGUGAAAUGCGCAGAUAUCAGGAGGAACACCGGUGGCGAAGGCGGGUCUCUGGACAGUUCCUGACGCUGAGGCACGAAGGUCAGGGGAGCAAACGGGG
rnacentral:rRNA from 1 species